GGGCUCGUGGCGGAACUGGUAGACGCGCAAGCUUGAGGGGCUUGUGAUCAUUGCGAUCGUGAGAGUUCGAGUCUCUCCGAGCCCACCA
rnacentral:tRNA from 1 species